UGGCCGUAAACGAUGUGGACUUGGUGUUGGAAUGGCUCCGAGCUGCUCCAGUGCCGAAGGGAAGCUGUUAAGUCCACCGCCUGGGAAGUACGGUCGCGAGACUGAAACUUAAAGGAAUUGGCGGGGGAGCACCACAACGCGUGGAGCCUGCGGUUUAAUUGGACUCAACGCCGGGAAGCUCACCGGAUAGGACAGCAGAAUGAUUGCCGGGCUGAAGACCCUGCAUGACUAGCUGAGAGGAGGUGCAUGGCGUAGACGUCU
rnacentral:rRNA from 1 species